rnacentral:rRNA from 1 species
AGAAGCUUGCUUCUAUGACGUUAGCGGCGGACGGGUGAGUAACACGUGGGCAACCUGCCUGUAAGACUGGGAUAACUUCGGGAAACCGAAGCUAAUACCGGAUAGGAUCUUCUCCUUCAUGGGAGAUGAUUGAAAGAUGGUUUCGGCUAUCACUUACAGAUGGGCCCGCGGUGCAUUAGCUAGUUGGUGAGGUAACGGCUCACCAAGGCAACGAUGCGUAGCCGACCUGAGAGGGUGAUCGGCCACACUGGGACUGAGACACGGCCCAGACUCCUACGGGAGGCAGCAGUAGGGAAUCUUCCGCAAUGGACGAAAGUCUGACGGAGCAACGCCGCGUGAGUGAUGAAGGUUUUCGGGUCGUAAAACUCUGUUGUUAGGGAAGAACAAGUACGAGAGUAACUAGGCUCGUACCUUGACGGUACCUAACCAGAAAGCCACGGCUAACUACGUGCCAGCAGCCGCGGUAAUACGUAGGUGGCAAGCGUUGUCCGGGAAUUAUUGGGCGUAAAGGGCGCGCAGGCGGUUUCUUAAGUCUGAUGUGAAAGCCCACGGCUCAACCGUGGAGGGUCAUUGGAAACUGGGGAACUUGAGUGCAGAAGAGGAAAGUGGAAUUCCACGUGUAGCGGUGAAAUGCGUAGAGAUGUGGAGGAACACCAGUGGCGAAGGCGGCUUUCUGGUCUGUAACUGACGCUGAGGCGCGAAAGCGUGGGGAGCAAACAGGAUUAGAUACCCCUGGUAGUCCACGCCGUAAACGAUGAGUGCUAAGUGUUAGAGGGUUUCCGCCCUUUAGUGCUGCAGCUAACGCAUUAAGCACUCCGCCUGGGGAGUACGGUCGCAAGACUGAAACUCAAAGGAAUUGACGGGGGCCCGCACAAGCGGUGGAGCAUGUGGUUUAAUUUCGAAGCAACGCGAAGAACCUUACCAGGUCUUGACAUCCUCUGACAACUCUAGAGAUAGAGCGUUCCCCUUCGGGGGACAGAGUGACAGGUGGUGCAUGGUUGUCGUCAGCUCGUGUCGUGAGAUGUUGGGUUAAGUCCCGCAACGAGCGCAACCCUUGAUCUUAGUUGCCAGCAUUCAGUUGGGCACUCUAAGGUGACUGCCGGUGACAAACCGGAGGAAGGUGGGGAUGACGUCAAAUCAUCAUGCCCCUUAUGACCUGGGCUACACACGUGCUACAAUGGACGGAACAAAGGGCUGCAAGACCGCGAGGUUAAGCCAAUCCCAUAAAACCAUUCUCAGUUCGGAUUGUAGGCUGCAACUCGCCUACAUGAAGCUGGAAUCGCUAGUAAUCGCGGAUCAGCAUGCCGCGGUGAAUACGUUCCCGGGCCUUGUACACACCGCCCGUCACACCACGAGAGUUUGUAACACCCGAAGUCGG